AGCGAACGCUGGCGGCAGGCCUAACACAUGCAAGUCGAGCGCCCCGCAAGGGGAGCGGCAGACGGGAGAGUAACACGUGGGAACGUACCCUUCAGUUCGGAACAACCCAGGGAAACUUGGGCUAAUACCGAAUACGUCCGUAAGGAGAAAGAUUUAUCGCUGAAGGAUCGGCCCGCGUCUGAUUAGCUAGUUGGUGAGGUAACGGCUCACCAAGGCGACGAUCAGUAGCUGGUCUGAGAGGAUGAUCAGCCUCACUGGGACUGAGACACGGCCCAGACUCCUACGGGAGGCAGCAGUGGGGAAUAUUGGACAAUGGGCGCAAGCCUGAUCCAGCCAUGCCGCGUGGGUGAUGAAGGCCCUAGGGUUGUAAAGCCCUUUCGGCGGGGAAGAUAAUGACGGUACCCGCAGAAGAAGCCCCGGCUAACUUCGUGC
rnacentral:rRNA from 1 species